UCACUCCAACGCUGAUGCAAUUUAUCUACAGAUUUUCUCAGGGUCUGCGAUUACGUCAAAUCGACAUGAUAGAUGACACCAUUGCAGGCAGCACAACAACACUUAGUAAAAUGUCCAAAAAAAUAAGGAGGGUAUGUGUGGCUGCAGUUCAAAGAUUGAGACGUCGUACAGGUCAGCAGAUUCGUGGCCGAAGGGAGUUUGUUGUGAUUGAUGAGAGUCACUUUCGUCACAAACGAAAGUAUGGGAGAGGAAGAAUGGCUGGGGGAUGGAAAAGAAGAAAGUGGGUCUUUGGAAUGCUGGGCAUAAAACAUCGAGGGAAAACGAGGCCUAUCUUGCGAAAGUUACAAUGUACUUUAAAAACUUUCACAUCUAUAAAUAGGUUGUAAGGUAUAUAUGGUCCCCACUUUAGAUGGGCUCACUCAAGAUACUUUACUAACAAGUAGCAAAUGGUUUGUAACUUCCUAAAUAAGUUUAUUAAGGUAUUUAUGAGUAUUUAUAGAUAAUUUAUCGAAAAAGAAGUUGGCCGAUAGUGAGUUACAGCUUUGGCAGCCUUUAAGUGACAGUUAUAAAUGUAUUGUAAGACAUCUGUUAAGCUAUAGCAGCUGACUGAUGUAACCCUGAUAUUCAGUGUUUAUAAAACAUCUAGUAUGAAACUACUAUGUGUAGUACAUGUAGAGUUUAUAGUAUUAUAUAGGGUAUGUUAACCAUCUACUUACCUUUUACCAAUGAUUUUGUAUACCACUGAACAUCCUGAAAUGAGUGGUUUGUAACUGAUGCAGAGUAGUGUUUAUAAAUGAUUAAUCAAUGAGUUUUAGAACAUGAAAACAUAAUUAAUAAAGUGUUGUACAUUAACUUAUUAAUCAUGAAUAAAGUGUUUAAAUCAGUGCUUGUAAACUAUUAACUGAUUAUGAGAAAUACUUUGUAGAUGCUGUAGAGAGAAUUAAGUAACCAUUAACUAAUGCUUAACAGAUGAUUAACUAAUGCUUAAUAGUGUUCACUUAUUAUAAAGUGUUACCGAAUUGGUUUAUAGUUCUCAUUCUUACUGUUAUUAGUUUGGAUAUGUUAUAAUUUAGCUCUAGGUUAGGUUAUCCUUUUCUUUUUUUACUUUAGUCAAGCAGCUAUCUAUUAACCUUUUGGUCAUACCUUCUUUAAGCUAAUAAUCCAAAAAAGUGCCUGCAAUCCCUAUUUACUCAUUAUCCCUAUUUUGGCAAUUAAUAUUUUCUUUUACUCAAUUUUACCCACAAAUUUUCCACCUUACAUCAUAUUUGUUGCUUAACAAAUAUUAUUUUUGUAGAUCUUUCUGUUUAAAUUCCUUAAACAACAACAUAUUAUUUCAGCAGCAGUGUCUAUCUUCCUCUUUAUAUUCAACAAUUCUUAAUUUUUGCCGACUUAUCUCUUUUAACUGCUCUGAUGCUCCUCUCACUCCUCCACAUACCUUAGGGAUAAUUCACAAACUGCCUGCAUACACAGCGCUCUGCAGCACAGAGAGCUCAGUUUUUUCUCAGUCUCUCAAAUCAGUCCCUCUACAACUUUUUAUUCAUCUACCUACUAACUUCCCAUUCUCCUUA